rnacentral:misc_RNA from 1 species
CUUUCUGGCAGGGUAUAUGAGAUCGUCGCUGAUUGGCUGCACCUUGCUCAAGCCGAUCUUCGAUCGAUCGAUAUCCGGCCGCGGGACGGUCACACUCACAGGUCGGCAUGUUGGUGAACCUUUCCUGUUUAGCUUAGAUUUCACGUUAUCAUGGUUAUUCAUGCCAACAAGAGCUGCAAACAACUUCUCUAAUUAGUAGAAUGUGGACGGACAUUGCAUUCAUUCCCAUUCAGCCAUUGGACUGAACCGGUACCAAGACCGGAACUGUAACACAGUAAGGAUGGUCAAUAUGAAGCGAGCUUCAUUGAAUUCCUCCAAGAGCUCUGUACUCUGUUCUGAUCAUUUUGAAGAUGCUUGCUUUGACCUGGGCAGACGAUACGUCUUAAACAGGAUGCUGUCCCAACCAUAUUUGAUUUCCCGCCUCGUCUUCAGAAGAAUUCACCCAAACCAAGGUAUUUCCCAAAAGACUUUUCGAUUCAGCAAACAACCUCCCAGAUACUGCAAAGACACCAGUGCCAAAGUCUUCAGCACCUUAAUUUCUCGAAGACCACUCCUACUGAAUACCAGAAAGUCCAAGAGGGGUAAAGUGGAAGUCAACAACAAUAAUGGACUGUAUUAAAACUUGGAGAAGAGGCUGAAAACCACACAGAAGUCCUACCUUAUACAUUACUUGCUUUUAAGUUUGGACAAACAUUGAUUUGCACAACUUUACAACAAAAAAUUUACGCUGUGUGGAUUCUGAUUAUUUAAAAUAGCUCAAUGAAAACGUUUAUCACUGGGCAUGUAACAAAAAUGAAUUCAUUGAAUUUGAAGAUGUCUUACAGUAUAUUCAUUCUGAUUUGAAUGUCAGAAGAGAAAAAAGUUUGUGAAAAGUAGGAAUGACGGCAAGCUGACAGAAUAGAAUACAUGUAGGAUAGAACAAGGCCAGAGUUAUAAAUGAGCUGUUGGAUAGAGACAAAAAGAUGAAUUAAGAAUGGGGGUGAUAGAGAAAUAGAGACAGGAAUUGGGGAGCCUGUGAUGAAUGCCUGAGAAAGUAAAAGUUACCAUAUUUUAUUUUUUUAAGGAUUUGAACAGUCAGGAAGAAUGUGGUCUUUUUUCUGUUGUUAUUUCUCAAAAUACUGGUAUGUUUUGUGUACAGAAAGGGGUAUAAUCCUUUGCAAUAAUCACUCUCACAGAAAAUAUUAACUAAUCAAAAGAAAAGUCAAAUAUUUCACUG